rnacentral:rRNA from 1 species
AUUGAACGCUGGCGGCAUGCCUAACACAUGCAAGUCGAACGACAGCACGGGUGCUUGCACCUGGUGGCGAGUGGCGAACGGGGGAGUAAUACAUCGGGACAUGUUCUCUAGUGGGGGAUAGUCCGGCGAAAGCCGGAGUAAUACCGCAUACGAUCCUCUGAUGAAAGCUGGGGACCUUCUGGCCUCGCGUUUUGGGGUUGGUCGAUGGCUGAUUAGCUAGUUGGUGGGGUAACGGCCUACCAAGGCGACGACCAGUAGCCGGUCUGAGAGGGAGACCAGCCACACUGGAACUGAGACACGGCCCAGACUCCUACGGGAGGCAGCAGUGGGGAAUUUUGCGCAAAGGGCGAAAGCUUGAUCGAGCAACGCCGCGUGAGUGAUGAAGGUCUUCGGAUUGUAAAACACUUUUGUCCGGAAAGAACUAAUUUGCUCUAAUCCAGUCGGGGGAUGACGGUACCGGAAGAAUAAGCCCCGGCUAACUACGUG